GUGGUGGCUCAGAGGUAGAGCGCUUGCCUAGCACGCAUGAGGCACUGGGUUCAAUCCUCAGCACCACA
rnacentral:tRNA from 1 species